rnacentral:rRNA from 1 species
GACGAACGCUGGCGGCGUGCUUAACACAUGCAAGUCGAACGGAAAGGCCCUGCUUUUGUGGGGUGCUCGAGUGGCGAACGGGUGAGUAACACGUGAGUAACCUGCCCUUGACUUUGGGAUAACUUCAGGAAACUGGGGCUAAUACCGGAUAGGAGCUCCUGCUGCAUGGGGGGGGUUGGAAAGUUUCGGCGGUUGGGGAUGGACUCGAGGCUUAUCAGCUUGUUGGUGGGGUAGUGGCUUACCAAGGCUUUGACGGGUAGCCGGCCUGAGAGGGUGACCGGCCACAUUGGGACUGAGAUACGGCCCAGUCUCCUACGGGAGGCAGCAGUGGGGAAUAUUGCACAAUGGGCGGAAGCCUGAUGCAGCAACGCCGCGUGCGGGAUGACGGCCUUCGGGUUGUAAACCGCUUUCGCCUGUGACGAAGCGUGAGUGACGGUAAUGGGUAAAGAAGCACCGGCUAACUACGUG